CUCUUAUUAGUACGAAAGGACCAUAAGAGUAAAAUAAUUUUNNAUUUGUUGGAUUAAUAUUAAUUUAAUUAANU
rnacentral:rRNA from 1 species